AAAUUAUUAGUUGACUCAUCACUCCUCCUCCUCCUCCGGCUGCUGCCGCCGCCGCCGUCCCCUGCUCAGAUCCUGCUCUCCUCCUCUCCUCUCCGCCAGCGCUGCCUGCUGCCGCCGCUGCUUCUUCCUCCUCCUCAUUUUAAUACAAAAUAACACCAAGGCCACCGGUUUCCCACCCCCCCCAGCCCGAGAUAGCAGCGGCAGCAGGAGCAGGACGCAGCCUCCCUGCUGCUGCCCGGAGCCCUUCCCCGGCGGCCCCGGAUCAUCCGACGCGUCCUGGGAGAGAGAGAGAAAGUGGCAGAAGAGGAGGAGAAGGACUUGCAGGUGGCACAAGACAACCCAGUUCAUCUGCCCCGCAGACCCAACCACACGGGGGGGAAAGGAAGGAGGGUCUUCUGUCCGCCGUUUUGGGGGGCGAGCAAGAGACAAGGAGGCGCCGUUUUCAGAGACCCCGCGGCAUGAGAAGGACGGGAGGCUGGAAUCGGGAGCCCCGUGGCAAGUUGUACAGGGAAUAGUAGGCCUUUUCUGGGAUGAUGUGCUGUAGAGAGUUGGCGCAGCAAGGAGGGGGUUGCGUGCGUGUAAACAAAAGGUCAGGCGUGCUCAGGUCACUGAACAGCGAGCAUCACCGAUGUUACUACCAAAAAAGUGGGGGGGGGGGAAAUAGCCAGUUCCUCACCAAAAUGCAAGGCCUGACAGCUGUAGCUGCCUCUUCUAUAGAACAGGGUAAAAAAAAUCCAGUAAAAGUGUAAAACGUGGUAAAAUGUUCACAAAAAGUGAGCACAGGAUAGACCAUUUCUUCCCCAUAAUACACUGGAAAAAGGACUGAGCCAACCGAAUGGACUUGAAAGCAACAAGUUUGCCCAAGCUAAGAGAUGAGAGAAAAACCCCUUUAUUGACAAAAUGUGUAAGUGUGGACAUGCUGUAUUAUAAGGACUUCCUAAGAUGAAAGAGGCUAAGUGACAGGAGUCGAAAUCAUGUACCCAAAAUAAUUCCAAGUGAGAACAUGAAGAAAAUGUCACGCAGGAACUGUAAUACAAAACUAGAACAAGUUUUCAAGUAGGUAACAGGGAGAUAACAAUACACAAAGCCCGCUAUGACCUCUAAACACAGAAAAAGUAAACCAAUACAUGCUUCGAUGAGCAAGCAUAUCAUCAUCAUGUAUGUAUUACUAUAACAAAAAGCGUAUUAAAAUUAGGUAAAGAAACAUGAGCUGACAUCUGCUGAAAUAAACACACAUCAUGCAGGGCCUGCAAAAAGAAGAAAAUGGUAAUAGGGUGAAAUACAUAAAAUAUUUAUCAUAUUCAGCAAUGCACAAAAUAGAUUAUGAUCUCAGAAGCAAAGCUUGAAAAUGGAUAUAAUGUUUUAAAAUACUGUUAUUCUAAGAAGUGUAAGUGAAGGCAGAAUACAGUGGAAACACUAAAAGCUGUAUAUUUGUGCUGCAAAAGAUUAGUAAAAUUGUUACUGAAAGGGUGUAUGCUUUACAAAGAAAAACAAGAAACAUGCUUUACAAAGAAAAACCAAGGGGAAAACGUAAAUGACACUUUCUUUAGCUCAUGAUCAAGGGAUACCUGUCUAGCAGGUUGUUUAUUGAGAAACGGAUCUUUUUCCAACAGAUGGGCUAAAUAAAAUUCAAAGUUAGAAUCAUUUACUUAUAUUCAAAUGAUUAAAAAACCCCCCCCAAACCGUGAGCUAUUUGUUUCAACGCAAACUUGGUGGAAAUCAUGGAGAUGGUCAAUACCGUAUCAUAUUUAAUCUUUUCUGACUAGUCUGUUGCAGUAACCUUUGUCAGAUGAAAAUAAAUACUGACCAUCAAAUUAAACUGAAGGAAAGAAGGAAAAUGCUAAAGAAAGUGGCAAUGCAUAUGGGGGAGAUUAAAGAAAGUACAGAAUAUUAGGGGAAGAUACCCUUAGUUUGAUGACAGAAUAGCUAAAAAAACAUCUUCUAAAAAGGCUUAUAGCUUCAACAAAGAAUGUUUAAAUACAUGUUCUAAAAGUACAAUCCUAUAUUAGUCAAAGUAACUUAAAAUGCUCAAGUGAAAACAGAAAAUGAUUGAUCUAAAAAGCAGAGUGUAAAUUACAAGAGUGGGGAGAUAAAGAUCUGAUAAUACUGGAGCACAGGAGGCCUAAUAAUGAUAUUAUUAUGCACACUAAGCAAACACUGACAAACAAAUAUUCUGUUAAUUAUAUAAUCAUGCAUAUGCUUCCUAUGCUCAAGAUAAAUGGUUACGAACAAUAACUGCUAUUGAAACUAUAUGCAUGUAUUCUGUAAGCUGCAUACUAUACUGAUUAACUUAAAUUCUUUUAUAAUCA